rnacentral:rRNA from 1 species
GACGAACGCUGGCGGCGUGCUUAACACAUGCAAGUCGAACGGAAAGGCGCUGCUUUUGUGGGGUGCUCGAGUGGCGAACGGGUGAGUAACACGUGGGUAACCUGCCCUUGACUUUGGGAUAACUUCAGGAAACUGGGGCUAAUACCGGGUAGGAGCUCCUGCUGCAUGUUGGGGGUUGGAAAGAUUCGGCGGUUGGGGAUGUACUCGCGGCUUAUCAGCUUGUUGGUGGGGUAGGUGCUGACCAAGGUUUCGACGGGUAGCCGGCCUGAGAGGGUUAACGGGGACAUUGGGACUGAGAGACGCAGCAGACGCGUACGGGAGGCAGCGGUGGGGAGUAUUGCACAAUGGGGGGAAGCCUGAUGCAGCAAUGCCGGGUGCGGGAUGACGGCUUUCGGGUUGUAAACCGCUUUCGCCUGUGACGAAGCGGGAGUGACGGUAACGGGUAAAGAAGCAACGGCUAACUACGUG